AUUGAACGCUGGCGGAAUGCUUUACACAUGCAAGUCGAGCGGCAGCGCGGGGCAACCUGGCGGCGAGCGGCGAACGGGUGAGUAACACAUCGGAACGUACCCAAUCGUGGGGGAUAACACAUCGAAAGAUGUGCUAAUACCGCAUAAGUCCUGAGGGAGAAAGCGGGGGAUCGCAAGACCUCGCGCGGAUGGAGCGGCCGAUGGCGGAUUAGCUAGUUGGUGGGGUAAAGGCCUACCAAGGCGACGAUCCGUAGCUGGUCUGAGAGGACGACCAGCCACACUGGAACUGAGACACGGCCCAGACUCCUACGGGAGGCAGCAGUGGGGAAUUUUGGACAAUGGGCGAAAGCCUGAUCCAGCAAUGCCGCGUGUGUGAAGAAGGCCUUCGGGUUGUAAAGCACUUUUGUCCGGAAAGAAAUGGCUCUGGUUAAUACCUGGGGUCGAUGACGGUACCGGAAGAAUAAGGACCGGCUAACUACGUGCCAGCCGCCGCAGUAA
rnacentral:rRNA from 1 species